rnacentral:rRNA from 1 species
CCUACGGGAGGCAGCAGUGAGGAAUAUUGGUCAAUGGACGAGAGUCUGAACCAGCCAAGUAGCGUGAAGGAUGACUGCCCUAUGGGUUGUAAACUUCUUUUAUAUGGGAAUAAAAUGUUCCACGUGUGGGAUUUUGUAUGUACCAUAUGAAUAAGGAUCGGCUAACUCCGUGCCAGCAGCCGCGGUAAUACGGAGGAUCCGAGCGUUAUCCGGAUUUAUUGGGUUUAAAGGGAGCGUAGGUGGAUUGUUAAGUCAGUUGUGAAAGUUUGCGGCUCAACCGUAAAAUUGCAGUUGAAACUGGCAGUCUUGAGUACAGUAGAGGUGGGCGGAAUGCGUGGUGUAGCGGUGAAAUGCUUAGAUAUCACGAAGAACUCCGAUUGCGAAGGCAGUUCACUGGACUGUAACUGACACUGAGGCUCGAAAGUGUGGGUAUCAAACAGGAUUAGAUACCCCAGUAGUC